GUGCUUAACACAUGCAAGUCGAACGGAAAGGCCCUGCUUUUGUGGGGUGCUCGAGUGGCGAACGGGUGAGUAACACGUGAGUAACCUGCCCUUGACUUUGGGAUAACUUCAGGAAACUGGGGCUAAUACCGGAUAGGAGCUCCUGCUGCAUGGUGGGGGUUGGAAAGUUUCGGCGGUUGGGGAUGGACUCGCGGCUUAUCAGCUUGUUGGUGGGGUAGUGGCUUACCAAGGCUUUGACGGGUAGCCGGCCUGAGAGGGUGACCGGCCACAUUGGGACUGAGAUACGGCCCAGACUCCUACGGGAGGCAGCAGUGGGGAAUAUUGCACAAUGGGCGGAAGCCUGAUGCAGCAACGCCGCGUGCGGGAUGACGGCCUUCGGGUUGUAAACCGCUUUCGCCUGUGACGAAGCGUGAGUGACGGUAAUGGGUAAAGAAGCACCGGCUAACUACGUGCCAGCAGCCGCGGUGAUACGUAGGGUGCGAGCGUUGUCCGGAUUUAUUGGGCGCAAAGGGCUCGUAGGUGGUUGAUCGCGUCGGAAGUGUAAUCUUGGGGCUUAACCCUGAGCGUGCUUUCGAUACGGGUUGACUUGAGGAAGGUAGGGGAGAAUGGAAUUCCUGGUGGAGCGGUGGAAUGCGCAGAUAUCAGGAGGAACACCAGUGGCGAAGGCGGUUCUCUGGGCCUUUCCUGACGCUGAGGAGCGAAAGCGUGGGGAGCGAACAGGCUUAGAUACCCUGGUAGUCCACGCUGUAAACGGUGGGUACUAGGUGUGGGGUCCAUUCCACGGGUUCCGUGCCGUAGCUAACGCUUUAAGUACCCCGCCUGGGGAGUACGGCCGCAAGGCUAAAACUCAAAGGAAUUGACGGGGCCCCGCACAAGCGGCGGAGCAUGCGGAUUAAUUCGAUGCAACGCGUAGAACCUUACCUGGGUUUGACAUGGAUCGGGAGUGCUCAGAGAUGAGUGUGCCUCUUUUGGGGUCGGUUCACAGGUGGUGCAUGGCUGUCGUCAGCUCGUGUCGUGAGAUGUUGGGUUAAGUCCCGCAACGAGCGCAACCCUUGUUCACUGUUGCCAGCACGUUAUGGUGGGGACUCAGUGGAGACCGCCGGGGUCAACUCGGAGGAAGGUGGGGAUGACGUCAAGUCAUCAUGCCCCUUAUGUCCAGGGCUUCACGCAUGCUACAAUGGCUGGUACAGAGAGUGGCGAGCCUGUGAGGGUGAGCGAAUCUCGGAAAGCCGGUCUCAGUUCGGAUUGGGGUCUGCAACUCGACCUCAUGAAGUCGGAGUCGCUAGUAAUCGCAGAUCAGCAACGCUGCGGUGAAUACGUUCCCGGGGCUUGUACACACCGCCCGUCAAGUCAUGAAAGUUGGUAACACCCGAAGCCGGUGGCCUAACCGUUGUGGGGGAGCCGUCGAAGGUGGGACUGGUGAUUAGGACUAAGUCGUA
rnacentral:rRNA from 1 species